rnacentral:lncRNA from 1 species
GAAUGGUGUCGGAGCACGUAGUGUCGUAGAGUUUCGACUUGCGCUACCACAAAGAAUGGCGGAGGCCCGUAAUGCACUUUCGGGGUUAUGCUUAGCAAAUGUGAGUGAAUCUGGUCUCACAUUCCCCGUAGUGGGCCUUUGGACAGUUCCAAUGAGCAUAAGGCCACUCUGAGGUGGAAAAGUGCAUGUACCCCUUCGAUACUCGAUAAGUUGAGUUGGGGUGCAAAUUGGAGUUGGAUUUAUUUGAGUUUCGAGGACAAAACUCUUAUUAAGGAGGGGAGAAUGUAACAUACCGAACUUCUAAAAUCAUGAAGUCACGGUGUAUAUUUAAAUGGUUCCGGUGAGGUUACGGUAGAAUGUAACAUACCGGAUUUUAAAUAUAAAAAUAAAAAUAAAUAAAAAUAGUAUGAGAUACUAUUUUAUCGGAUUUAGGGAAGCGAAAUAUAGGUUGGGAGUGACCUGUGCUGAAAUUGGAGCGAAAACAGAAGAUUUAGAAUUUUAUGUGAGAAACGGGGCAGAUAAAUUAGCAGAAAAUGCACAGUGUCAGAAAAUUAUAAAAAUUGGCGGAGAUGUCAGAAAUAUUUUUAUGAGGCUAGAUUUAAAGUUUCAUAUUAUUCUGACACUCGUAGAGAGAGAAAUAAAAUCCGAAAGCUAUCUGAUAAAGAUUGCAGUUCGGUACAGUUUUUAGUGACCAAACGGGGUCGAAACUGAAAUAUUAAAAUUUCUUUGG